rnacentral:lncRNA from 1 species
UUAUUUUUAGCAUGGAAUGUUGAAAACAUUCAAGUAUAAAUAGGGCAUCAAGCAUCAUAUAUUGACAUCAUUAAUUUUCAGAGAAAAAAUCUUAGAGUGUCAUUUGUUUCCUUAUGGCUUGCAAAGAAUUUGCAUGCCUCAAAAUAAGGAGAAACUCUUACCGAAAUUGAGAGAAGCUAGAAAGUAUGACUUGAGACCAUUUAGGUGAUUUAACAUUAGGAAGAUGAGGAGAGCCACCAUGAGAAGCCACAAGGAGCAGUUUCAGAUAACCCACCUACAGUCUAACAUUUUUGCCUUCUUAUUGUGCAACAGUUGUGGAUAAACCCCCUCGACUAUUCUUCUCCCUUUUCUCUUUAUUGUUAAUUUUUGUUUUCUGUGCUGAAAAACAUGUUUACAUCUCAUCUUUAUGUUUUGAAUUCAAUAAAGCAUGACUUAAUUUUGUUUA